GAUGAAGAACGUAGCGAAAUGCGAUACUUGGUGUGAAUUGCAGAAUCCCGUGAACCAUCGAGUCUUUGAACGCAAGUUGCGCCUCAAGCCAUUAGGUUGAGGGCACGUCUGCCUGGGCGUCACAUAUCGUUGCCUGAUGCCAGUUUCCUCGUGAUGGGUGACUGUGCAGGGCGAAUGAUGGCUUCCCGUGAGCAUUGUUGCCUCAUGGUUGGUUGAAAAUUGAGUCCUUGGUAGGGAGCGCCGUGAUAGAUGGUGGUUGAGUGACGAACGAGACCCAAUCAUGUGAGACCCCUACCGAAUUUGGCCUUCAUGACCCACAUGCGUCUUUGGAACGCUCAUGACGAGACCUCAGGUCAGGCGGGGCUACCCGCUGAGUUUAAGCAUAUCCAAUAAGCGGAGGA
rnacentral:misc_RNA from 1 species